AUUCACUAGCGGGUGAAUUAACACUCUAAGUAUUGGUGAUAAGUAGGUCUGUAUGUUAUCUUCAAGGUCUUCGUCGUGUAUCUCCCGUUCUCUUGGUUUUCUCCGCACUCCGUGCGGGGUUCUCCAUGGGGUCUUCCAAGGGUGCGUGGAUUUCCCCCGGUGAUUGGCUGCAACGUAUAGAUGACGUCAUUUACAACCAAUCACCGGGGCAGCGGCACGUCAACAUGCCACUGAUCGUUAGGCCUGUCCAAGCCUAAGCUUGCACAGCCUAACUCAAUAAUAGCAGGAUUAACUGAAUUUUGAAGUGAAGGCUCUGCAAGUAUCUGAUGUCAGGUAUUUUCAGUUGAAACUAAACAUUAAAUUUUACCUUCAACUUUCCAACAAGUGUCAAAGGCUAUAGGAAUUGCAAUUUGUGUUUUCGAUAUCGACCACUCCAAAAAUGAAUUUGUUCGCCAAAAAUGUAAGCGUGCGUUUCAAGCUGUCGACCAGGAAAAGAAUAUUAAAAAGGAAUGUCCGGUGCAGUUAUAGAGAACUACUAGGACAAUUGCAAAGUUACUGUAGCAUAGUUAAGAAGAUUGCUGACCUGCGAAACUUAAAGUGCCAGUACAUAAUAAUUAUUACUGUAGUUUCAGAAGUUUUCUUCGAAAGUCAGAGAAAUUCUUUUGCAAGUGAAUGUACAGUGGAAUCUACAGUGAGUAGAAGCAGGGACUCGCUGGUUUCAUAUGAACCAAUUAAAAGCCAGCAAGUUGAGCAGAGUACCCAGUCCACAAAUACAGUGUAACAGCAUGAAUGAUCUCAAUAGCGCCCUCUAUGAUAGUGUCAGGAAUGCAGUUGAAGCAUUGAAUAGUAACAGUAAAGAGAAUUGCUAUGAAGGAGACAAUUGAGGCAGAUUUUAUGCUACCAAAUCUUCCUAGUAGCCUUCAGCAAGACAGAAGCCUUAGUGAGUCAUAUAGGCUUAGCGAUGAUGCCACAGACACACCCGUUCCGAAGCAGUAAGUAAGGCCCACCUGACGAUUGACCUUGAUCUUGAUGGUGAACCUACUCAAACUGAGGUUGAAAGAAUUGAGAUGUGGGAUAAAUCUGUGAAACAAACAAGCCAGGAAAACGUGCAAGCAGUGCGUCUCGCUAUUCAACAUCAAUGAUGAAAGACUACGACCAGCAUUGGAAGAGCUGCAGUCCUGUGAUGAUCCAAAUGGGCAACAGUUGGCUAGCGUCUCUUUUAUAGCACAUAGUGGUUCAAGGAUUUGCAAGUUUAAGAAUCAUGAUGAUUUCUACUUGUAUGUCAAUAUGAAAGAAAUUGUCUUCGAUAGAGAUUUUGGUAAUACUGGAAACCAGAAGAACAAUUAGAGACCGCGCAUAGUGGUUCCAGGAUUUCCAAGUUCAAACAUCUUAUUGAUUUCUACUCGUAUGUUAAUAUGAAAGAAAUGGUCUUCAAUGGAGAAUUUGGUUACUGGAAACCAAAAAGAACAAUUGGAGACAGCAAAAUAUACCACAAUCUAUUUCAGAAGUUUUGCACGAAAGACAGAAAAAUUCAUUUAUAUACGAAAGCACAGUAAAGUCUAUGGUGAAUAGAAGCAGGGCCUCGCUGGUUUCAGAUGAACCAAUUAAAAGCCAGCAAGUUGAGCAGAGUACCCAGUCUACAUAUGACAGCAUGAAUGAUGAGUUUAAUCUCAAUAGCGCCCUCUAUGAUAGUCAGGAAUGCAGUUGAAACAUUGAAUAGUAACAGUAUAGAGGUUACUUCUAACGAAUCUGUCAAUGAUGUUGAAGAAACAAAAUGGAACAGAUGUAUUUAAUUCCCAAAAUUUAUCAUAUUCAUUUUAAUUAUUUAAUUUGUUGAAUAAUGCAUUUGGGAGACAGAGGCCUGUAGCCAGUGUGUGCUGGCAGGAUGCGUGGCCUGAUCUGAAGAUUCUCUCCACAGCCACACAAUGCAUGGUGACAGUUCUAAAGCAUAGGCAAGGCCCACCUGAGUAUUGACCUUCGACGUGAUGGUGAACUUACUCAAACUGAGGUUGAAAGAGAUGUGGGAUAGGUCUGUGAAACAAAAUUACAAGCCAUGGAAACGUGAGAACAGCUGCAUGGACUCCAUAGUCUUACACUCUAUGAAGAUAGGCUCACCGGUCUAUAGUUAUAGGCGGAUCUCAACGAACGCUCUUCUUAAAGAUUAGAACGACCUAAGCAAGACAACAACAACAGUAAAGAGGAAUUGAACCCAGAACCCUGUGAUAGCAAAGAAAGUAUCUUUCUACCAAGAUUUUCUGCUUCACUAAUUAUAGCCAUUAGCGGUUGCAGAAAUCCAAGAUGGCCGCCAAAUAUAUAUUUUACUUAAGCUUACUUCUAGGGUGUGUCCAUCAGUGAUGCUGAAGAAACAAACAGUGGUUUGGGAGACAAGACCUGUAGCCAUUUUGUGAUGACAGGAUGUGUGGCCUGUAGAUCUGAAGAUUCUCCCCACAGCCAUGUAAUGUACAGUGACAGAUCGUCAUUUAGUUCCAUCUCCUGCUUCAUCAGUGUACUCCUUGAAUGAUGCCUGUUCAUCGUACGAGCAAAGUUGUUUACACCAAGCUCCCCAACACAACAUCAAUAAUCAACGAGUGACAACACCUCCAUCCUAUCAAGGCCAAGUCUGUCCACCAUCACCUUUCAAAUAUGACAGUAAAGUAAAUGUUUUUGGUCAAUAAUUUCUUCUUUUUUUUUUCUAAUUUUUACGAAACUUUUUACAUACUUUGUUAAAAGCGUGGCUCAUCAUUCCCUAUCUAGAGAAUUAUAACAUUUAUUAUGUUUAAUUUAAUAUUUUCAUAUUUAUAAUAAAACCCAAUUUAAUAUUAAGCUACAGUUCUUUAACAGAGCUCAGAUAUUUAAGUUUUUAAGUUUAUUUAUUUGAUCUAAAUACCGUCAAACCUCAAUUUGAAGCCCUGGGCUUCUUUCGAGAUGGGUUUCUUUUCGAGGCUACUUUUGAAAACUAAAGAGGGGGCUUCAAUUUGAGAUGGGCUUCUUCUCAAGAUUAAGCCCAUUGGGCUUCUACUCGAGGUUUUGUGGUAUAUCAAUACUAAUUGUUUUCAAU
rnacentral:lncRNA from 1 species